AUUGAACGCUGGCGGCAUGCCUUACACAUGCAAGUCGAACGGCAGCGGACCUUCGGGUGCCGGCGAGUGGCGAACGGGUGAGUAAAGUAUCGGAACGUACCUUUCAGUGGGGGAUAACGUAGCGAAAGUUACGCUAAUACCGCAUAUUCUCUGAGGAGGAAAGCAGGGGACCUUCGGACCUUGUGCUACUAGAGCGGCCGAUGGCAGAUUAGGUAGUUGGUGGGAUAAAAGCUUACCAAGCCGACGAUCUGUAGCUGGUCUGAGAGGACGAUCAGCCACACUGGGACUGAGACACGGCCCAGACUCCUACGGGAGGCAGCAGUGGGGAAUUUUGGACAAUGGGCGCAAGCCUGAUCCAGCAAUGCCGCGUGCAGGAUGAAGGCCUUCGGGUUGUAAACUGCUUUUGUACGGAACGAAAAGCCCUGGGUUAAUACCCUGGGGUUAUGACGGUACCGUAAGAAUAAGCACCGGCUAACUACGUGCCAGCCGCCGCGGUAAAAC
rnacentral:rRNA from 1 species